rnacentral:rRNA from 1 species
UACGAAGGGGGCUAGCGUUGCUCGGAAUCACUGGGCGUAAAGCGCACGUAGGCGGAUUGUUAAGUCAGGGGUGAAAUCCUGGAGCUCAACUCCAGAACUGCCUUUGAUACUGGCGAUCUCGAGUCCGGGAGAGGUGAGUGGAACUGCGAGUGUAGAGGUGAAAUUCGUAGAUAUUCGCAAGAACACCAGUGGCGAAGGCGGACUCACUGGCCCGGUACUGACGCUGAGGUGCGAAAGCGU